GACGAACGCUGGCGGCGUGCUUAACACAUGCAAGUCGAACGAAGUGGCGAACGGGUGAGUAAUACGUGGGUAACCUGCCCUCCUUUUUGGGAUAAGCCUUGGAAACGGGGUCUAAUACCGAAUAAAGGGGGUUGGGCUCGCGGCCUAUCAGCUUGUUGGGGGGGGGGUGGCCUACCAAGGCGGUGACGGGUAGCCGGCCGGAGAGGGUGACCGGCAACAGUGGGACUGAGAUACUGCCCAGACGCCUACGGGAGGCAGCGGUGGGGGAGAUUGCACAAUGGGCGAAAGCCUGAUGCAGCGACGCCGCGUGGGGGUUGAAGGCUUGCGGGUUGUAAACCUCUUUCGAUAUCGAAAGGGUAGGUGGAGAAGAAGCGCCGGCUAACUACGUGCCAGCAGCCGCGGUAAUUC
rnacentral:rRNA from 1 species